rnacentral:rRNA from 1 species
AACGAACGCUGGCGGCAGGCCUAACACAUGCAAGUCGAGCGCCCUUUCGGGGGAGCGGCGGACGGGUGAGUAACGCGUGGGAAUAUGCCCUUCUCUACGGAAUAGCCUCGGGAAACUGAGAGUAAUACCGUAUACGCCCUGUGGGGGAAAGAUUUAUCGGGGAAGGAUUAGCCCGCGUUGGAUUAGGUAGUUGGUGGGGUAAUGGCCUACCAAGCCGACGAUCCAUAGCUGGUUUGAGAGGAUGAUCAGCCACACUGGGACUGAGACACGGCCCAGACUCCUACGGGAGGCAGCAGUGGGGAAUCUUAGACAAUGGGGGCAACCCUGAUCUAGCCAUGCCGCGUGAGUGAUGAAGGCCUUAGGGUUGUAAAGCUCUUUCAGCUGGGAAGAUAAUGACGGUACCAGCAGAAGAAGCCCCAGCUAACUCCGUG